GUAAAUAUAGUUUAACUAAAACAUUAGAUUGUGGAUCUAAAAA
rnacentral:tRNA from 1 species